GAGAGAGGCUGGACGGUUGCCGGACCUACUGGUCUGAGGAAAGUCUCCCCACCGUUCCGGACACACGAACAUCUGUAAAGGAUGUCGGGCGAGAGCCCGGGCUCUGGCACAGAAACGAUAACCAUCCCCUGGAAAUGCGAUGAUGUCAUAAGCUGAGGUCACAGGGAGAGUGGAUGAAACGGCGAAUCCUCGUGGGUGCAAGUUGGAAAUCGGGAAAGCACGAGCAGUCUGGACUCAUCCCGGUUGUUUUUGGUAACGCUUAGCCGAAUGCCGUCGAUGCAAGAGUCCCCAGGGACCGUUCCUCCCACUGAUGGGUGGCAGGAAUAUUUGCAUGAACAGAAGGGAGCUUACGUGCCUCACUC
rnacentral:RNase_P_RNA from 2 species